UAUAAAAUAGUUUAAAUUAUAAAAUGUGGGCUUGUGGUGCCUAGGAUGUGUGUUUACUUUUAUAA
rnacentral:tRNA from 1 species